rnacentral:rRNA from 1 species
AAGCUUAAAACCCAAAGGACCUGACGGUGUCCCAUACCUACCUAGAGGAGCCCGUCUCAUAAUCGAUAGCCCGCGAUAAACCUCACCACCCCUGGCCCACCCAGUCUAUAUACCGCCGUCGCAAGCCUAUCUCUCAAGAGUCAGUGGCCAAACAGUACAACCGUACUAACACGACAGGUCAAGGCGUAACUCAUGGGGUGGAGAAGAUUGGCUACAAUGCCUAAUUAC